rnacentral:rRNA from 1 species
CCUUAGCACGGUCAGGAUACAGUGCAAAGGUAGCAUAAUCAUUUGCCUCUUAAUUAGAGGCUAGUAUGAAUGAAUCAACAAGUAUUUGCUUUCUUUCUUUUAACCUUAUAAAUUAUCCUCUAGGUGAAGAGACCUAGAUUUAGUUAAAAGACAAGAAGACCCUAUCAAGCUUUAUUUAAUAAAUUCUUAUUAAAUUUUUAAAAUUUUAUUGGGGCAAUAUAAAAUUAUAACCAACAUUUUUAAACCAAAGAAGUAUACUUCAUUUUCAACAACUUAAUAUUAAAUAAAAGACAUGCUACUGUAGGGAUAACAGGCUAAUAUUUCUCAAGAACCCUUAUCAACAGAAAUGAUUGGCACCUCGAUG